GGCAACGUGGCGGAGUGGUUAUCGCGCUAGCCUAGAACUCCAGAGUAUCCUAGCUAGUUCCCUCGGGAGCGUCAGUUCGAGUCUGGCCGUUGUCG
rnacentral:tRNA from 2 species